UAUACACGACAUCAACUCCCUCACAAACUCAUAGCUCAUCUCAUCAUUCAUCAAUGGCUCUCUCUACUUUCACUCUUCCUCUCCGCCCAAACCUAAACCCUCAAAUAUUCUCUCUCCACCUCACUCCACAACCUUACCUUCCCCUUUCCCUUGCUCCCUGGAGUUUUCGCCGGCGCCGGCGAGUUAUUCUCGUAAAAUCGGCGUCGACUAAUCGACGAGUUAUUCUCGUAAAAUCGGCAUCGAUUAACGGAAUUUCAGUUGCUAAUAAUCCAGAGAAACAAGAAAUUGCAGAAACCGUUGAGUUAGGAGAGAGAAUUCGAAGGAAUUUUGAAGCUUUGCGGUCGAUUUUGCCCGGAGGAAAAUGGUGGAGAUUGGCUGAUCAUGAAGUCGAUAUCGACGUUACGGCGAAACCGGUUACGGUUUGGAAUGCUCUUCAUCGGAUGUGGAAAUUGGUUUCAAAUGAUCGUUGGGUCAUUUUUGCUGCCUUUUCUGCUCUAAUUAUCACUGCGCUUGCGGAGAUCUCUAUACCACACUUCUUGACAGCAUCAAUUUUUUCAGCACAGAGUGGCAAAGUCAUGGUCUUCCGUCGAAAUGUGGGUUUUUUGAUGGGUUUUUGCAUCACUGCAGGAAUAUGCAGUGGCAUAAGAGGAGGCUGUUUCAGCAUUGCAAAUAUGAUCCUUGUCAAGAGAAUGAGGGAAACGUUGUAUUCGUCUCUCAUGCUUCAGGACAUAUCUUUUUUUGAUGCAACAACAGUGGGUGAUCUUACUAGCAGGCUUGGGGCCGAUUGUCAGCAAGUGUCUCGUGUGAUUGGAAAUGAUCUUAAUCUGAUAUCACGCAAUAUACUGCAGGGCACUGGUGCCUUGAUCUAUCUGCUAAUUUUAUCAUGGCCGCUUGGUUUGUGCACCUUAGCAAUAUGCAUCACACUUUCAUCAAUUAUGGUAAUUUAUGGCCAGUACCAGAAGAAGGCAGCAAAGUUGACCCAGGAGUUCACUGCUUCUGCAAAUGAAGUUUCUCAAGAGACAUUGUCGUUGAUGCGAACUGUUAGAGUUUAUGGCACAGAAUUGCAAGAGUUAGGAAGGUAUGAGGUUUGGCUGGAAAGAUUAGCUGGUAUCAGCUUACGACAAAGUGCUGCCUACGGACUCUGGAAUGUCAGCUUCAAUACUCUGUAUCACUCAACUCAGAUUAUUGCUGUGCUAAUUGGGGGAAUGUCUAUUCUAUCUGGCCAUCUGUCAGCCGAACAACUCACCAAGUUUCUGUUAUAUAGUGAAUGGCUAAUCUAUUCAACAUGGUGGAUAGGAGAUAAUGUGUCAUCAUUAAUGCAGUCUGUGGGAGCAAGUGAGAAAGUAUUUCAGUUGAUGGAUCUCUUGCCUAGUGAACAGUUCAUCUCUGAAGGAUUAAAACUGCAGAAAUUGACUGGGCAUAUUGAUUUUGUGAAUGUCUCCUUUUCAUAUCCAACAAGGACCGAGGUACCUGUAGUACAAGAUAUAACUAUUUCUAUGCAUCCCAACGAAGUAAUUGCUAUUGUUGGUCUUAGUGGCAGUGGUAAAAGCACAAUUGUGAAUCUUCUUCUACGUCUUUAUGAGCCAACUGGUGGUGAGAUACUAAUUGAUGGCUCCCCUUUGAAGAAUUUAGACACUCAAUGGUUCAGAGAAAGGAUUGGAUAUGUGGGCCAGGAACCUCGGCUUUUUAGAACGGACAUAAGUUCAAAUAUAAGAUACGGGUGUCCCAGAGAGGUUACGCACGAGGAUGUUGAGUGGGCUGCUAAGCAAGCCUUUGCUCAUGACUUCAUCUCUUCUUUGCCGAAUGGUUACAAUACGAUUGUUGAUGAUGAUUUGCUCAGUGGUGGGCAGAAACAGAGGAUUGCUAUUGCUCGAGCUGUUCUUAGGGAUCCAACCAUUUUGAUCCUUGAUGAAGCUACUAGUGCCUUGGAUGCAGAAAGCGAACACAAUAUCAAGGGCGUUCUACGAGCAGUAAAAAAUGACACACAAUCAAGAAGAACUGUCAUAGUAAUUGCACAUAGGCUUUCUACAAUACAAGCUGCAGACAGAAUAGUCGUGAUGAAUGGUGGUAAGAUUGUUGAGGUAGGUUUUAUCAUAGAAGAUGUCCGAUGCUCUUUAUACGCAGGCCUCAGUUCUGAAGCUUUCAUAUGAGUAAUUAACUUAUUGGCAGUUGGCAUUAUAUAACAAAAUUUCCCAACUUAUUAUAGUAGCAAGUUGAUGAGAAUAUGAGAUGAAGCUAGAAUCCUAAACUUUCUAGUUCAGGUUGUUGUAUAGGCAACAGUAGAUGGGUAGUCACAAGGAGCUUCUUCUUAAAGAUGGCUUGUAUGCAAGAUUAACUCGGAGACAAGAAGAUGCUGUGGCUUGAAACGUGGAGCAAUUUCACGACUCUUGCUUGCUACUACAAAUUCCAGAUUAUGCUCUGAGGUUUUAUCUUAACAGUAGUCUCUGCAGCAGUAACUUGGACAUUGAAGCAAAUUAUUUGGCUGCUGACCUCCAAGUUCGACGGCUGUCAAAUUUUAUAGAACAGAACAACAAAGAAACAGGGCUUUGACAGGUCAAUACUGGCGAUCAUAGGUCGUCAACAUGGCUUGCAGACGCAGCUCAAUUUUUGGAGUAGCUGCAGCAUACUGAUGUUUCCUGUCCAUUCUUUCAUCUUGAUGCACCAAAAUUUGAUAACCUGUAAGUAGGCAAUGUACGGUGCAACUUUUCAAUGGUGUACAUGGUUUUUUGGUUGUUCAUUCUUACUUUGUACAAUUGUACCCUCUACCUUUUGACUAUGGUGCAUAUCACACAAAAAUAGGGCCUUUGGUUAGAUGCUUUAGCUUUUUUUGUAUGGUCAAACCAACAAGAAAAACAUGUUCGUAAAUUGGGCUUCUUUUUUUUUUUU